rnacentral:tRNA from 1 species
GCGGAUGUGGUGGAACUGGUAGACACGCCAUCUUGAGGGGGUGGUGGGGCAACCCGUGAGAGUUCGAGUCUCUCCAUCCGCACCA